ACAAACUUGAGAGUUUGAUCCUGGCUCAGAACGAACGCUGGCGGCAUGCCUAACACAUGCAAGUCGAACGAG
rnacentral:rRNA from 1 species